AACCGUUUGAUUGAAUCUUCUGAUUCCUUUUACAAACAUUGUGUAAUGAACGUCAUUAGAUCAUAACAAAAAAAAACUUUUAACAACGGAUCUCUUGGCUCUCGCAUCGAUGAAGAACGCAGCGAAAUGCGAUAAGUAAUGUGAAUUGCAGAAUUCAGUGAAUCAUCGAAUCUUUGAACGCAACUUGCGCUCUCUGGUAUUCCGGAGAGCAUGCCUGUUUGAGUGUCAUGAAAUCUCAACCAUUAGGGUUUCUUAAUGGCUUGGAUUUGGAGGUUGCCAUUCUAAAUGGCUCCUCUUAAAGGAGUUAGCAAGUUUUACUAUUGCUAUCUGGCGUAAUAAGUUUCGCUGGAAUGGUAUUGUGAAGCGUGCUUCUAAUCGUCUUAGGACAAUUACUUUGACUCUGGCCUCAAAUCAGGUAGGACUACCCGCUGAACUUAAGCAUAUCAAUAAGCGGAGGAAGAGAAACUAACAAGGAUUCCCUUAGUAACGGCGAGUGAACCGGGAAGAGCUCAAAUUUGUAAUCUGGCUGUCUUCGAUAGUCCGAGUUGUAAUCUAUAGAAGCGUUUUCCGUGCUGAACUGUGUAUAAGUCCCUUGGA
rnacentral:rRNA from 1 species